rfam:Desulfosporosinus orientis DSM 765, complete genome.
CAACCGCACUGCAAGGUGCGGUUGAACCGGCAGGAGUCAGCAGAGGCCAUAUUACUCAGACGAAGAUAUCUCGCAUGAGGAAGGGC